rnacentral:rRNA from 1 species
CCUACGGGAGGCAGCAGUGGGGAAUAUUGCACAAUGGGCGAAAGCCUGAUGCAGCCAUGCCGCGUGUAUGAAGAAGGCCUUCGGGUUGUAAAGUACUUUCAGUUGUGAGGAAGGGGGUGUCGUUAAUAGCGGCAUCUCUUGACGUUA